rnacentral:rRNA from 1 species
CGAAGGGCGAGGGUGAGCCAGCGGAGCAGAGGAGGCGGAAGAGGGGACGGAGAGGAGGGGGACGGAGGGGUGAGCUCAUCGUGUGCCGGUUUAGUGCGGGCGCGGGAGCGGAACGGUGUAGGAGACACGGCGGUACGGCAGUGUGGUGGAGUUGAUGGCGGGAACCAAGGGCUACGUCGGAGGACGGCCCGCAGGAUAAGAUGCUGCGACCUGUUGCCGUCCGGGCGUGUGAGCUCUCCGCAGCCGCAGUAACUACCGCCGCUGAAGUCGGGAUAGAGAGAGGGGUCGGGAUAGAGAGAAGGGACUGGGAGAACUACCAGUCUCCCCACUGCCCCACCUAGCCCACCGCCUCUACCGCCUCAAGCCCGACCUCGCGAGUGCCCUACCUCCAGAGUAGAGCGCGAUGGAGCCGUGGUGGUACCCGACGUGGCCACUGGCCGGGGUUGUCCACGUGUACUUGUCGUUCCACACAAACCGCAGCAUGAACCGGCACCACGUCUUAUAGAACACCAAGAUGGGUUCCCAACUGUGGCUCGUGGCCCCGCUUGACGUCUCCAUCGCAGGGCGCAGGAAACAGUUGCAGGUAUCGUAGUUCCUGGAGGAGUGCGGGGACACGUCUACCGCGAGCGAGCACUAGUGUCCUUUGGCCUACUGCGUACACGGGUAACAGAUAGUAGCUGCUGUUCCAACCAAGACACAAUUCCGGGACGUAGGAGUCCAUUCUCCGGUACUAAGUAUUCCGUCCAUGAUUAACGUAGAAGUAGAGAUAAAAGUAAACCAGAGCUAAAGAAAGUGAACCACGACGUGUUCUAGUCCAGUCAAACCUUGGAGACGGAGGGUUUAAGGAUGCUGUCUUUUCUACGGGAAAGGUUCAUGAUGAAGUCGAAAAGAUAACCUACCUAUUGUUAUUUUGCUGUUGUUUAUAGAUAGUCUUAACUAAUAUUAGUCCCUACCUUCGUUGAGACAAAGUCAUCUCUUCGUUGACGGAAGUGAACUCUUAUUAGUCCAUAUCUGUUAACUAUGAAGGGUGGACACGUUCACAAGACUACAUCACACACAAUACGGUAGCCCUUCAUUAUAGACAAGGAAGGUAGUAACGAAGGCAUCCCAUCCCGUAAUACCAGACCGUAGAGGCAGGAGGGUCCAGUGAUUAUUAUGGAUAUCGACUACGAUCCGGGUAUUUUUCAAGUACAAUAAUGCAAUAUACAUAAUAGCUGGUUAUGUACAGAUCGUAAUGAGCCUAUUGUCUAGUUAUUAUCCUUCAACAAAUUACACCUAAAGGGAAAAAACCG